UUGUAUCUGUUACUGAGAAGUUAAUGGAUGAAUUGGCACAAUGCUACAAUGUGCUCCCCCAACUUGAUAUUAAUAACACUAUAGACCACCGCCCCGAAGGGGACGAAAAAUGGUUUUUAGAGAACGAGAAGACGGUUACGCAGUUUUGCCGCAAGCUGGCUGCUGAACGCCCUCUUAAGGAUAUUCGCGAUGAGUAUAAUUACCCCAAAAAGAAAGGUAUUAAGGAUGAGUGUUCAAGAUUGCUGGAGGCCUCCACUAUGAAAUCGCGUAGAGGCUUUGCUAUUCAGCGUUUGAUGAAUGCAAUGCGACAGGCUCAUGCUGAUGGUUGGUUUAUCGUUUUUGACACUCUCACGUUGG
rnacentral:rRNA from 1 species